AUGCACUGGCUCGUGUGUGUCGAGUAAAGCAGUGCUUACCUGAGAGCAGCUUAUUGUAAUAGCAUUAGACACUACGUAUUCUGCUCAUACUGAAGCCCUACCUACAUUACUGCACAGCGAGGGGUGAAGAAGUGUAUACUGUAUGCAGAGAAACUAAGAAUUUGAGGGGUGGGAGAAGAGGCACGCUCUGCUCCUUUAUAACCUGCAGAUCAAGAGGCGCAUCUCAUACACCAAAAGGCAAUGGACACGACUCAUGCAGCUAGGAACAGGAGAGAACAGUGCGUACUGUGUUGUCCAGACUGGGCUGCAGGCUGCGGUGGUGCUGUGUGUGUUGGGAGAGGCAGAGGGGUGACAGGGCCGUGAAGUGCACAGUCCCAGGCGGCCUACUGGCUCCAGUGCUGGAGGGACCUGGGCAGGAUCUGUACCACCUGUGUCCCGCUAGUAACUGGGACCCAGUAGAGAGCUGUUCAGACACAGACAUGUACUAUGUUAGGGCGACCACCUAUUAGGGUGACCAUCUAAAUUAUAUUAUAUUAUAUAAAGAUAUUUAGCAUAUUAGGCCA
rnacentral:lncRNA from 1 species